rnacentral:lncRNA from 1 species
CUCCGGGAUCCUCCAGGGUCCCCUGGGAUCCUCCGGGGUCCUCUGGGGUCCUCCGGGAUCUCCCGGUUCCUCACCUGGAUCCGGCACUCGUCGUAUUCCCGCGGCGCCGGCGGCUCCUGGGCGGGCACCGGGGCCGGUUCUGGGGGCAGCGGGGCGAACUGGGAGGGGGAAAAAAGGGAUCUGUGGGAUCCCAGAGUGCACCCCUGGGAUCCCAAAUGUGCCCCAGGGAUCCCAAAGUGUGUUCCUGGGAUCCCAAAAUGCGCUCCUGGGAUCUCCUGGGAUCCCAAAGUGUGCCCCAGGGAUCCCAAAGUGUGUUCCUGGGAUCCCAAAGUGUGUUCCUGGGAUCUCCUGGGAUCCCAAAGUGCGCUCCUGGGAUCUCCUGGGAUCCCAAAGUGCGCUCCUGGGAUCCCAAAUGUGCCCCAGGGAUCCCAAAGUGCGCUCCUGGGAUCCCAAAGUGUGCUCCUGGGAUCCCAAAUGUGCCCCAGGGAUCCCAAAGUGUGCCCCAGGGAUCCCAAAGUGUGCUCCUGGGAUCUCCUGGGAUCCCAAAGUGCGCUCCUGGGAUCCCAAAGUGCGCUCCUGGGAUCUCCUGGGAUCCCAAAGUGUGCCCCAGGGAUCCCAAAGUGUGCUUUAGGGAUCCCAAAGUGUGCUCCUGGGAUCCCAAGUGUGCUUUAGGGAUCCCAAAGUGUGCUCCUGGGAUCCCAAAGUGUGCUCCUGGGAUCCCAAAGCGUGUUCCUGGGAUCCCAAAGUGUGCUCCUGGGAUCCCAAGUGUGCUCCUGGGAUCCCCUGGCAUCUCCUGGGAUCCCAAAGUGUGCUCCUGGGAUCUCCAGGGAUCUCCAGGGAUCCCAAAUUUUACUCCAAGGACCCCAAAUUGUGCUCCUGGGAUCCCCAAGGACCCCAAACUCUGCUCCAGGGAUCUCCAAGGAUCCCAAAUUCUGCUCCUGGGAUCCCCUGGGAUCUCCAAGGACCCCAAAUUGUGCUCCAGGGAUCUCCAAGGACCCCCAGUUCUGCUCCUGGGAUCCCCCAUUGCUCUGGGACCUCUCCCCCCACCCACCCCCAACCCCUCGGUGCCGCCGCUCACCCUCUGCGCUCGCUCCGCCUUGUCCCGCUCGAUCUUCUCCCGCACUCUCUGCCUGUGGGGAACGAAUCCCAAACAUUUUCCGGCCUUUCCCGAAACUCGGGGAAUCCCAAAAAGUUCCGGGAGCUGCGGAAAGCCGAGGGAGGGCAGCGGGGCCUUGGGGACACCA